rnacentral:rRNA from 1 species
UGUAAGCGUAUACCAAAGUUGUUGCAGUUAAAACGCUCGUAGUCGGAAUUUGGCAGUUCCGGAUGUGUGCACGUCGUGUGCGCACUUCGCGGGGAUUGCUUUUGUGGUCUUGCGUAGGAUGAGGCACUUUUAUUAGUGAACGUCCUCACGCAACCACUUUUUACUGUGAGAAAAUCAGAGUGCUCAAAGCAGGCAUUUGCCGUGAAUGUAUUAGCAUGGAAUAAUAGAAUAGGACUUGGUUCUAUUUUGUUGGUUUGUUGGGACUGAGUAAUGAUUAAGAAGGACAGUUGGGGGCAUUUGUAUUUCGGUGCUAGAGGUGAAAUUCUUAGAUUACCGAAAGACAAACUGCUGCGAAAGCGUCUGCCAAGGAUGUUUUCAUUGA